CGCAUCUGUGCAUGCAGCAUAUCAAUAAGCGGAGGAAAAGAAACUAACAAGGAUUCCCUUAGUAACGGCGAGUGAAGCGGGAAGAGCUCAAAUUUGAAAUCUUGAAAGGUCACCUUUCACGAAUUGUAGUUUAAAGAAGUGUUUUCUGUUACGAUCGUAAUAUAAGUUCUUUGGAAUAGGACAUCACAGAGGGUGAGAAUCCCGUCUAUGAUUGCGAUUUGUAGCUUUGUGAUACACUUUCAAAGAGUCGGGUUGUUUGGGAAUGCAGCCCAAAACGGGAGGUAAAUUUCUUCUAAGGCUAAAUAUUGGUGAGAGACCGAUAGCGAACAAGUAUCGUGAGGGAAAGAUGAAAAGAACUUUGAAAAGAGAGUUAAAUAGUACGUGAAAUUGUCAAAAGGGAAGCGUUUAACACCAGUGUUGUUUUCUGAAAAUCAACCUCUGUUAGCUUUAUGCAUGUUUGUUUAGACCUAAUCAGCUAUCUUGCAUGUUCUAUUGUUUGCAGUGGUGCACUUUUCAGUUUACAGGUCAACAUCAGUUUUUUUUACCGUAAAAAAGUUAAAGAAAGGUAGCUCACUGGCUCCGGUCGUGAGUGUUAUAGUCUUUUUCCUAUGCGGUAGGAGAGACUGAGGUCUGCAGUGUAGGCUAUUUGGCUAGAUACUCAGGUGCUAUGUGAUACCAUUUCAUAAACAACUUGUUGAUUAUGUUUUGUCUAUUGCAUACUCGCUUGUACUAUCAUACCUACGCUUAGGAUGUUGACGAUCAGCUGAGCGCG
rnacentral:rRNA from 1 species